rnacentral:rRNA from 1 species
AUUGAACGCUGGCGGCAGGCCUAACACAUGCAAGUCGAGCGGCAGCGGGAAAGUAGCUUGCUACUUUUGCCGGCGAGCGGCGGACGGGUGAGUAAUGCCUGGGGAUCUGCCCAGUCGAGGGGGAUAACAGUUGGAAACGACUGCUAAUACCGCAUACGCCCUACGGGGGAAAGGAGGGGACCUUCGGGCCUUUCGCGAUUGGAUGAACCCAGGUGGGAUUAGCUAGUUGGUGGGGUAAUGGCUCACCAAGGCGACGAUCCCUAGCUGGUCUGAGAGGAUGAUCAGCCACACUGGAACGGAGACACGGUCCAGACUCUUACGGGAGGCAGCAGUGGGGAAUAUUGCACAAUGGGGGAACCCCUGAUGCAGCCAUGCCGCGUGUGUGAAGAAGGCCUUCGGGUUGUAAAGCACUUUCAGCGAGGAGGAAAGGUUGUUGGCUAAUACCCAGCAACUGUGACGUUACUCGCAGAAGAAGCACCGGCUAACUCCGUGCCAGCAGCCGCCGUAA